UAUGCGGCUUCAUUGAAAGAAUUAGAGGAAAUCUUAACUGAUAUCCUUUUAACUUUUGAUAUCUUUUAAUCCUAAUUUGCAUUUUUUUAUUAAAUUAACAUCACAUUAUCAAGAUACAAUAUGAGUGACUCUUUAAGAAUAUAAAUAAAACUGUGUUACACGAGAAGCUUAUAUUUUCUGCUUACAUUUUCUAAAAGUGUCUACGCGUAACCGCGUCGCGAAGAUCGAGUUGCAACGAUACCGCGUUACAUACAACAAGCUCUCUACCUCGAAUAGACCAUACGAUACUAACGAAGUGUCUCACAGGCCGAGGAUGAAAGCGAGACGGGCAGAGUCGAAAGACGCAAAAGACCUCGACGAUGAGCGUUCCCCUUCGACGAACCGAGAACAUGAACUCUUCCGUAAACGUCAGGUAAAAAGGAAAAGGAGCAUCUGCUUUGUACUCAAGCCGCGGAAACCAAUCCUAUCUUUUACGUAAGGUCCGACCAUCUAUCUCGACAAAAAGAAGAACUCGAAGAAGAAUCAUAAACGGAGAUACCGUUCUUCGUUUAACUGCUUAAAGUGCAAGGUGAAGGAUACACUCCGUUGAAUACUUCGUCGAUUGGAUCUACCGCAUUUGAUAGCAUUUAUGUCUGAUUGCAGUGUGUCUCGGAAAACUAGUUUCUUGGGAAAUCGACGGCGAACCGAUAUGUAGUUCUUCGUCGUCGUCUUGGCGAGCGUCUCGCGACUGGCUCAAUGUAGCAAUUAUUGGUGUUUACGGCCUCGACGGAGGAACUAGCUUAAUUGAAGAAUUAGUUUAGGAACGGGAACGCUUGACUCACGCUCGCGCUCCCGGGAGGAGCUCGAGAAACACGUUCAGGAUCGUGUCUCGUGUGUAAUCGGGAGCUUUACGCGCUCGAGGAACAUCGGAAAUAUCAAGACGCCGAGAGUAACGACGAUGAAUCUCUUAGCGAAAAGAAAGCGAUAGCCGAUCGCUGAGGGCGCCAAUGAGAAGGAACGAAAGAGGGUUAGAUAGUGACGCAAAACAUAACAUGGGAAAAAACGCGCUGACCCGUUAUAUUCGUGUUGUCCAGAAAAUGCCGACGCAUCUCCAAUAGACGCGCAACGUAUAUUGAGGGGUUGGAAAGCGCAGAAAUACGCAGGAAAUCUGAAAGAUAUAGAGGUUUCUCUAUUUGCCGAAGAGAAACUCGAAAUGAGAGAACUUCUCCGGAAUAAUUACGGGUGUCUGUUAAAAAAUCGAACCCCUCCACUCACUGCACCGUCCUGUGAAUUGAUUAAGAAGACUAAUCUCAACCUUAAUUCUGGCUCCCCCGAGCAAAUGAUUGAGAAGACAAGGUCGAAGAUGGACACAAAAACCACCUUUUUUUUCUCGCUAACAUAAGUAUACAAUUUAUCAUUUUUAUUAAUCUAAAUAUGAAUUAAUCCCUUCUCAUUUAUUUUUUUCUGCGAAGAAGAUGUGUCAAUCAUUGAGACUAGAUUAUUAAUAAAAUAUUUAAUGGCGUAAUAUCAUCUUGUAGUCCAAUGUGGAGGUAAUUUAUAAAAACAGAAAAAAAAAUUAUGGAUUCUUUAAAAACAUUCAGACGGAACAGCUAAAUAUAAUUCUGUCUUAUAAAUUAUCCCCAUCAAUUCUUUCUUUAAGACUCUACAGAUUACGAAAACUUGCCAUUACGCGCAAUAUCGGUAAUGUUAAAACAAAAAUGCGAGAUUUAACGUUAAUCCACCACUCGAAAUUGUCUCGGACGGUUUAUCUCGGAAGGUUCAACGGUCGAUGCGCAUAAGACGCGCGCGCGUCCGAUGAUUGCUUCGUUAAACGCUCAAAGGCAGAUGCGCAAAUUUUCGAGGCGACGUAUUUAUACGCGCCUUCGGCGUCAGGGACCCGGGAUUAGAUCGCGACGGAGAAGAGACUUAUUACGAGACGAGGCGAUUACGCAAGCGAACGCAACUCGCCCCGGCGCCGAGAGAAACGAAGAGAGAGAGAGAGAGAUCCGGAUGAAAAUGAGGGGAGCCUAAAUAGCGGGCGUUCCAUCGCGCUAUUAAUUACGUAUCGAAUUACGUCAGUUUCCCAAGGCGACCGCUCGCGCAAAUAACGGAUUUGUGGUAACCACUGUAACGCGGGGUGAAUUUCAGCAAAUUCCCAACUGAAGAUGGUCAUAAAUUGCUGUAAUGAUUGGGUAUACAAACGCACGCACAAUCGAAAACCUCAAAUAUAUUUUAUGCACUGCCCUGAAAAGACUAUAAAAAUCCUCGCGAUUGUAGUUCGAUUUAAAUAAAUAUGAACAAUUGUAAACCUCACACUAUGUUUCCCCUCAUGUGGCCUUGCUUACUGAUGCUUUGUCGAUGCUUGACGAAGCUUUGCCAAAUAUAAAGAGAAACUACUUGCAUCAACGCGAUAUCCCUCCUGUAUCGAUCAACUGAGUACAAACAAUCCGCUACAUAUGUGAAUAAUUCAUGUCUUUGCGGUGGUAUGUCCGAGCAUAUAGAAUAUCGUUGUUUCGCGUUGUAACAGAAUUUACAAAUCAAUUCCAAUCUAUGAUAUUAUAAAGAAUAUAAAUGUAUCACUAUGAAGAGAGACACAUGUUUGUUCCAUCCAAUUAUGGAUGUAAUAAAUUCUUGAAUUUAUAUAUAAAAUAUGGACGAGACGGGACUGAAUCGAUUGAAGAAAUAAAAUACUUUGGAUUUCGGCAAAAAAAUUAAUCGACAUCGAAGACGGCAUACGCGAUAUUUUGUGCGCGCGGAUAAUAGUUUUUCCACAAUCGCGAUCGGCGCAACGCUUAACAAAUGAUUCAUUCGUAGCCUCGAAGACGCGCCGAGAAUGAUAGCGGGAUGAUAUAAGUCGAUCGUGUUUACGAAAGUGUCUCGGGAGCGCGAGAAGGAAUCUCUCUCUCGGAAAGCCGCGAAAGAGGAAAACGCUUUUCCACGCGCGCAAUUUAAUCCGGCGUGCGGCGAGGAGACGGGGCCAGUGAGAUUGAACGGAUCAAUGCGGAAGAGAGGCGUUUCCAAAGUGGGACGGCGACGAUAUAGCGUAUAGAGCGGCGACGCAAAAUCCACCAAGCCGCAUUCUGUGGUGUGUCGUGGCGCGAUCAUUCUGUAAUAAACGAUCAGCGUCGUAGAGUCGCGUGACAAUACGCGCCGACGGCGAACACGCAUAAGAGAGACCUUCGCUGCAUUUUCCUUUCAUUUUUUUUUUUUUUCAUUUUUUCUCUCGAUGAAAUAUCGGCGAUACGGACUGGAGGACCAUAGAGGAAAAAUUUUUGAUUAGGACGAGCAUGAGAUUCGACGAAAACUCACAUUAAUAUGUUCAUUGCGAUGCUGUAUACGCUUCGCAUCAUUAUUCUCUAGUCGAAGAACGGAAAUUUUUAAAAAUUUGCAAACUGAUAAUUCUAUAUAGAAAUAUUAUUCUGAUUAUAGAUAAUAGUUCUCUAUAAAUAGCUCUAUACAAAGGACUGCACACAAAAUAUAUAAAUGUAUAAUUAUCGUAUUAAUCUUUAAACCGAAACACACACAAUACGUACUUAAUUAAGCAAUUAGCAAUAAUGUUGCCUCUGAGGUUUUCCUGGUGCAUUUCAUUUUUAAUAUUAAAAAAAUAAACAAGUGUGAUCAAGAUAUAAAAAUAAUUUCAUUAUUUAAUUAAUUAAUAACUUACACAAUAAUAAAAAAUUAUGUACCUAUUGUAUAAUCGGACUUUUAAUGAGAUUAAUGUGUUUCGAUUUAAAAAUUAUAUAACUCGAUUUUUCUAUAAAUGUAUUUCGAGUUUGUAUCAUCCUCAGUGACUGAAUUUAAAAAACGUUUAAGGCCUCUACGAGCCGCGACGACCGGAUAUAUGGAGAUACAAUAAUAAAGCGACAAAGAGACGAAGUAUAAUAUAAUAAAGGCACCGCGGGCGCGGUGCGCGUGCCGGAUGCAAUUUACGAUAGGCGAACUUCAACGAAAACGUUUCGAUAACUGGCGAAUAUAUCCGCAUAGAAGACGCGCGCGUUGUGUAUAUAUGCGUGUGUGCGUGUGUGCGGCGAUUGCGUAAUGAUCGAUAUACCGCUGGACCGAGGAAUAAACUAUGUAUAUAAAUAGAUAGGAUGACACUUGCUCGACAUUUGUGUGAUACAAAGAACACUGAAUUAAAAGUAAUAAUUGCGGAAGUAAUAUACAACGGGCCAGGGAAAAUCUGCAGGUACACACGUGUGUUGUCCCUGUGUGCCUACCUUCGUGUUUCUAUUCUGACGUACACACAUAUAUCCUCUGAGCGUUAUAAAACGAUUAAGCACCGAGUUACACCAACAGAUAGCUGUUCGGGCCACGUGACACGGCCAAUCGAGCAUUUCUGUCGAUUCGUCAUCCCUUUCCUGAAUUAAAUUCUAGCUAUGAUAUAGACAGAGAAAAGGGAAAGGGAAAGGGAAGACAGAGAAGCAGAUCCAACGGUUUCAACAAUCUCAGCUAAAUCUAACCGCAGCUUAAGUUAUCGUGUAAAUUCUUGUCACACAUUCGACGCUAAAUGCGCCUCAUAAUUCUCUCAUUUCGUACAAACAUUGAACGUCAUCCUCAUAUUAGAUAACAGAAACUAAAAUCAUCGCAGUAUUUAAUAUUAAAUGCGUGGCGAGAAUAUAAAUCUUUGUUCCUAAAAAAAAUACAUAGAAUCAGUUAAACAUCAGUUAAUUAGAUUUAAGAUUGA